GGGAGGAGCGGGGCGGUGAGAACCUGGCUAGGCAGGCUGGAAACAGUAGCUCUUAACGGUUCCCCGCCAGUUGGUGGCAAGGCGGCUAGACUGGAAUCCCAGCACGCGACAUGCGAGGAGGCGGGCAGCCCAGGAGGGUUGGACACGGCAGUGUGGACCUCGCCGCUUCCACAACGAUGCUGGCUACUGAUCGCGUGCACUUCCUUGCCAAGGAAAAGAAAUUAAUGUUAUGACUGGAUAAAGACGAUUGUGAAGAAACUGCACUUUGAGGUUGUCUAUCUCUGUAUUCUGAUGGAAAAGCGUGGAGUUUAGAAGCAUUGCUCGCUCCUUCAGUUUCUAACAAGUUCGAGACUAUGGUUAGGUGGUGAGGAAGGCAGGCUCAGCACCCAAGCCUUGGGGAGAUGCAGAAAGGGCCCAUCCCAGGCACUCAGGUGGAGCAGGUGGUCUGUUCUAGAGAAUGUUCCAUGUGGAUUUGAGAAGAAUAUAUAUUCUCAUGUUGGAUGCAGUGCUGUGUAUAUGUUUGUUAGGUUUAUUUGUUUUAUAAUGUUGUUCAUGUUUUCUAUUUUUUAUCUUCUGUCUACUUGUUCUAUCCAUUAAUAUAAGUGGAGCAUUAAAGUCUCCAACUAUUACUGUUGAA